AUACGAAGGGUGCAAGCGUUAAUCGGAAUUACUGGGCGUAAAGCGUGCGUAGGUGGCUGUUCAAGUCUGUCGUGAAAGCCCUGGGCUCAACCUGGGAAUUGCGAUGGAAACUGGACGGCUAGAGUGCGGUAGAGGAUGGCGGAAUUCCCGGUGUAGCGGUGAAAUGCGUAGAGAUCGGGAGGAACAUCCGUGGCGAAGGCGGCCAUCUGGACCAGCACUGACACUGAGGCACGAAAGCGUGGGGAGCAAACAGGAUUAGAUACCCUGGUAGUCCACGCCCUAAACGAUGCGAACUGGAUGUUGGUCUCAACUCGGAGAUCAGUGUCGAAGCUAACGCGUUAAGUUCGCCGCCUGGGGAGUACGGUCGCAAGACUGAA
rnacentral:rRNA from 1 species